rnacentral:rRNA from 1 species
AUUGAACGCUGGCGGCAGGCUUAACACAUGCAAGUCGAGCGGAGUGAUGGUGCUUGCACUAUCACUUAGCGGCGGACGGGUGAGUAAUGCUUAGGAAUCUGCCUAUUAGUGGGGGACAACAUCUCGAAAGGGAUGCUAAUACCGCAUACGUCAUACGGGAGAAAGCAGGGGAUCACUUGUGACCUUGCGCUAAUAGAUGAGCCUAAGUCGUAUUAGCUAGUUGGGGGGGUAAAGGCCUACCAAGGCGACGAUCUGUAGCGGGUCUGAGAGGAUGAUCCGCCACACUGGGACUGAGACACGGCCCAGACUCCUACGGGAGGCAGCAGUGGGGAAUAUUGGACAAUGGGGGGAACCCUGAUCCAGCCAUGCCGCGUGUGUGAAGAAGGCCUUAUGGUUGUAAAGCACUUUAAGCGAGGAGGAGGCUCUUUUGGUUAAUACCCAAGAUGAGUGGACGUUACUCGCAGAAUAAGCACCGGCUAACUCUGUGCCAGCCGCCGCGGUAAUAC